AAACCUGUCGUCUGAAAACAUUUUAUGAUUUAUAAUCAAAAACAAAACUUUCAACAACGGAUCUCUUGGUUCUGGCAUCGAUGAAGAACGCAGCGAAAUGCGAUAAGUAAUGCGAAUUGCAGAAUUUCCGUGAGUCAUCGAAUCUUUGAACGCACAUUGCGCCCACUGGUAUUCCGGUGGGCAUGCCUGUUCGAGCGUCAUU
rnacentral:rRNA from 1 species